UACGGAAGGGGCGAGCGUUGUUCGGAAUCAUUGGGCGUAAAGGGCGCGUAGGUGGUUCUGUAUGUCUACCGUGAAAGCGUACGGCUCAACCGUAUUUUGUCGGUAGAAACUGCAGGACUUGAGGCUGGGAGGGGCUGGUGGAAUUCCCUGUGUAGCGGUGAAAUGCGUAGAGAUGGGGGAGAACACUCGUGGCGAAGGCGGCCAGCUAGACCAGUUCUGACACUGAGGCGUGACAGCGUGGGGAGCAAACAGG
rnacentral:rRNA from 1 species